GGGCGAUUAACUCAGGGGUAGAGUGCCUUCUUCACACGGAGGAAGCCGCUGGUUCAAAUCCAGCAUCGCCCACCA
rnacentral:tRNA from 2 species